GGAGAGAGGGGAGGAAGCAGGAGAGGGAGGGGGAGAGGCCAAGAAGCUUUGACUGUCAAUGGGGAGCUUCAAGAGGCCCAGAUCCGGCAAUGGACUAAGAGAGAGAGGGGGAGAGAGAGGGGGAGAGAGAGGCCAAGAAGCUUCGACUAUCAACAGGGAGCUCUGUGAGCCCCAAAUUCGGCAAUGGACUGAGAGAUAGAGGGGGGAGGGGAAGAAAGAGACUAACCUGUCAUCACCACCAUCAUACGUCGUCGUUGUCGACGGAUGGCUUCGAAUGAGAUUAGGGCAUCAAAUAGAGGGAGCAAGGCUGGUGAGCGACCAAGGCUUCAAAGUUAAAUAGAGUUGGCCUUUUAUAAUCUGUUUCGACCAGUUGAACCAUGCUAGUAAUCGGCCAAUCUGAUUUGAUAAGCCAGCCGAUUUGGCACAUUCCGAACCAGCCGGUUCGGCACAUCCCGAACCACCAGGUUCGGCACAUCCCGAACCACCAGGUUCGGCAUGGUUCGGCAAUCCUUGCAUCUAUCCUUAUAUAAAAUCCAAAUCUUUCAAAUUCCUAUCACCCUCAUGUCUUUAAACUAUCUUUUCUUGAGAGAAUGAGAGAAGUUGGAGCAAAGUCAAAGCUAGUUUUCACGUCCAAUAAUUGUAAACAUAAAAAACUAUGAUAAAAUCUUGGUGCCAUUCUAGUCACAAAAUUCAUUACCAGCUGACACAAACAAGCCAUAUAAAUUUAAACUAGUUAAUCUAAUUCAAGUACCUCU
rnacentral:lncRNA from 1 species